rnacentral:rRNA from 1 species
CCCUUAGAUGUUCUGGGCUGCACGCGCGCUACACUGAUACUUUCAGCGAGUCCACCACCUUGCCUGGGAAGGUGGGGUAACCUCUGGAAAGUGCAUCGUGAUGGGGAUCGAUUAUUGUAAUUAUUAAUCUUCAACGAGGAAUUCCUAGUAAGCAUGUGUCAUCAGCCCGUGCUGAUUACGUCCCUGCCCUUUGUACACACCGCCCGUCGCACCUACCGAUUGAAUGGUCCGGUGAAAUCUCGGGACGGCGGCUUGGUCGCUUGCGUCCGACUGCUGAAACUUGAUUAAACCAUAUCAUUUAGAGGAAGGUGAAGUCGUAACA